UACGGAGGAUGCGAGCGUUAAUCGGAAUUACUGGGCGUAAAGCGUGCGCAGGCGGUUUUGUAAGUCUGACGUGAAAUCCCCGGGCUCAACCUGGGAAUUGCGUUGGAGACUGCAAGGCUAGAAUCUGGCAGAGGGGGGUAGAAUUCCACGUGUAGCAGUGAAAUGCGUAGAGAUGUGGAGGAACACCGAUGGCGAAGGCAGCCCCCUGGGUCAAGAUUGACGCUCAUGCACGAAAGCGUGGGGAGCAAACAGG
rnacentral:rRNA from 1 species